AGUUUGAUCCUGGCUCAGGAUGAACGCUGGCGGCGUGCUUAACACGUGCAAGUCGAACGGAGUAUUGACGCUGACGAGACUUCGGUAAAUCUGUUAAUACUAGUGGCGGACGGGUGAGUAACGCGUGGGUAACCUGCCGUAUGCAGGGGGACAACAGUUGGAAACGACUGCUAAUACCGCAUAAGCGCACGGUUUUGCAUGAAACAGUGUAGAAAAGAAUUUCGGCAUACGAUGGACCCGCGUUUGAUUAGCUAGUUGGUGAGGUAACGGCCCACCAAGGCGACGAUCAAUAGCCGGCCUGAGGAGGGCAAUCGGCCACAGUUGGGACUGAGACACGGACCCAAACUCCGUACGGGAGGCAGCAGGUGGGGAAUAUUGCACAAUGGGGGAAACCCUGAUGCAGCGAACCGCCGCGUGAGUGAAGAAGUAUUUCGGUAUGUAAAGCUCUAUCAGCAGGGAAGAUGAUGACGGUACCUGACUAAGAAGCCCCGGCUAACUACGUGCCAGCAGCGGC
rnacentral:rRNA from 1 species